rnacentral:rRNA from 1 species
UACGUAGGGUCCGAGCGUUGUCCGGAAUUACUGGGCGUAAAGGGCGCGUAGGCGGUCCUUCAAGUCAGGCGUGAAAGCCCCGGGCUCAACCUGGGAACCGCGCUUGAGACUGGCGGGCUAGAGUUCGGGAGAGGAUGGUGGAAUUCCCAGUGUAGAGGUGAAAUUCGUAGAUAUUGGGAAGAACACCGAUGGCGAAGGCAGCCAUCUGGACCGACACUGACGCUGAGGCGCGAAAGCGUGGGGAGCAA